UUGAAGUCUUCUAAGCUAUUCCAAGCAUUCCUACUUCAUGAUUUAGCCUUAGGAAGUGUUGUGUGGCAUCAAAACACUCCUAAAUGGAGUUUACGGUCUAAGGACCAUUUCUCCAUGAGUUUACUACCUUAAACUCAUGAGUUUACUACCUUAAACUCAUGAGUUUACUACCUUAAACUCGUGAGUUUACUACCUUAAACUCAUAAGUUUGGUAUUUGGCGGUUUUCAAGUCCUUAGC
rnacentral:lncRNA from 1 species